CCUAAAUAAUACGAAAUAUGAUUGUUUACAUUAAAAUGCAAAAGUUGAUGAUAAAGUAUGAUAAGGUCAAAAAAGUGACAUUUGAUGUCUAGAAAGUCAGUUUUCAUCAAAAGUACAAUAACAAAACUAGUUCGCAUUCAUCCUGUGUCUCCUUACACACUUGUGCUCUUUAUCCGCUCAAAACGCUAUAGAGCGAACGAGAAGGCGCUAGGAGCAAAGGAAAGUGGUUUUUCUAACAAACUCAUAUAAUCAGUUGCCCGACCUACUCCAAUUUGAUUUUUUUUCACAUAGUUAGACAUAAUAUAUUACUAUGAAAUGUUUCUGACCCAAAAUAUUACGAAAUAUGAUUGUUUACAUUAAAAUGCAAAAGUUGAUGAAAAAGUAUGAUAAGUUGAAAAAAGUGACAUUUUAUGUCUAGAAAGUCAGUUUUCAUCAAAAGUACAAUAACAAAACUUAGUUUCGCAUUCAUCCUGUGUCCCUUACACACUUGUGCUCUUUAUCCGCUCAAAACGCUAUAGAGCGAACGAGAAGGCGCUAGGAGCAAAGGAAAGUGGUUUUUCUAACAAACUCAUAUAAUCAGUUGCCCGACCUACUCCAAUUUGAUUUUUUUCACAUAGUUAGACAUAAUAUAGUACUAUGAAAUGUUUCUGACCCAAAAUAUUACGAAAUAUGAUUGUUUACAUUAAAAUGCAAAAGUUGAUGAAAAAGUAUGAUAAGGUUAAAAAAGUGACAUUUUAUGUCUAGAAAGUCAGUUUUCAUCAAAAGUACCAUAACAAAACUUGUUCC
ensembl:lncRNA